rnacentral:lncRNA from 1 species
UUUUAUCAGGCUAAUUAGAUUGUUAGUUUAAUUAGUUAGUAAAUCUUGAUUUUUAGGAUUUAAUUAGCAUAUUAGGAUUUAAUUAGAAUUUCAUUAAAAUUAAUUAGGACUUUUAAUUAGAAUUUAAGUAGGGUUUUAGUUAGAAUUUUCUAAUUAGGAACAAUUAGGCUUAAUUAAAUUUAGGAUCUUGACAUUUCUCAACUUUAGAUUUAAUCAACCU